rnacentral:rRNA from 1 species
AAUGAACGCUGGCGGCAGGCCUAACACAUGCAAGUCGAACGAGUGGCGGACGGGUGAGUAAUGUCUGGGAAACUGCCCGAUGGAGUGGGAUAAAUACUGGAAACGGUAGCUAAUACCGCAUACCAUCGGAUGUGCCCAGAUGGGAUGAGCUAGUAGGUGGGGUAACGGCUCACUUAGGCGGCGAGCCCUAUCUGGUCUGAGAGGAUGACCAGCCACACGGGAAAUGAGACACGGUCCAGACUCCUACGGGAGGCAGCAGGGGUGAAUAUUGCACAAUGGGCGCAAGCCUGAUGCAGCCAUGCCGCGUGUGUGAAGAAGGUCUUCGGGUUGUAAAGUACUUUCAGCGAGGAGGCGUUACUCGAAGAAUAAGCACCGGCUAACUACGUGCCAGCAGCCGCGGUAAUUC